ACGGUGGGAGUAACUUCCAAGACCAAAUGCAAGCUACCAAUGCUAUCUGAAGUCUGAACACAAGAAGAAAGGUACAAAUCACUCUCGAGUCUCGAUGCUCUGCAGCAGGCAAACUCAUCUAAACUCCAAUUCUAUAAAAUUCGAAACAGAUCAUCCCCUCAAUUUCCGUGUCUGCUAUGGCCGAUCCCACCACCACCCGAAUAGUCCUUGAACCAUCAUUCACCUUCGACCUCACCAUUCACUCUCACACUUCCAUAAAAUCCAUUGCAAUUUCACCAUUCUCAACGAAUUCUCAAUGUUUCAUUUACCUAGGCACUUCAUCUGGUUCCCUUCUCCUGCUUUCCACAUACCCAGAAAACCCAAAUGACAAAACCCCCACCAAAGACCCGAAAUCGACACUGGAUUUUGAUGUUUCGUUUCGAGACGUUUCGUUGUUAAAAUCAGUUUCUUUUGGUGACUCGCCGUUAGACACGGUUCUCUUGCUUGAUGAGAUUGGAAAGGUUGUUGUUCUCUGUGAUGGUUUUUUGUUUUUGACGGAUUCGGGUUUGGUUCAACCCGUUAAGAAACUGGGGUUUUUGAAAGGGGUUUCUUUCAUCACUAAGAGAAUUAAGAGUAGUGAAUUGGAGUGUAGUGAUUUAUUCAGUGAUAGUAGUUUGGAGGGUUCAAGUGCAAGUUCUCGAAUUUUGAGCAGAUUAGGAGGCGGGGUUAGAGCUAAUGGGGUUAAAGGUAAAGAUUUUGGGCAAAAAAGUGAGGGUGAUUAUGUUUUUGCUGCUGUGAUUGGGACAAAAAUGAUUUUAAUAGAGCUUAGAGUUGGUAAGAAUGACAAGGAGGUUGAUUUUACGGUUUUGAAAGAAAUGCAGUGUAUUGAUGGGGUUAAGACAAUAGUGUGGAUCAAUGAUUCCAUAAUUGUUGGCACGGUUAAUGGGUAUAGUUUGUUUUCGUGUGUUACAGGCCAAAGUGGGGUGAUUUUUACAAUGCCUGACGGGUCUAGUUUGCCAUUGCUUAAGUUGUUGCGGAAAGAAAAGAAGGUGUUGUUGUUGGUGGAUAAUGUUGGGAUUGUUGUUGAUGCCCAUGGGCAGCCAGUUGGAGGAAGUUUGGUAUUUCGUAAGGGUCCAGAUUCUGUUGGGGAGUUGGCUUCUUAUGUAGUGGUAGUGAGGGACGGGAAGAUGGAGUUGUAUCAUAAGAAAUCAGGUAGCCUUGUACAGACUGUUAGUUUUGGCAGUGAAGGAGUUGGGCCAUGUAUUGUUGCAGACGAGGAAAGUGGGAAUGGGACACUUGUUGCUGUUGCAACGCCCACCAAGGUUAUUUGCUACCGGAGAGUACCUACUGAAGAACAAAUCAAAGAUUUACUGAGAAAGAAAAAUUUUAAGGAAGCAAUCUCCAUGGUGGAGGAGCUUGAGAGCAAUGGUGAAAUGUCUAAUGAAAUGCUAUCCUUUGUUCAUGCUCAAGUGGGGUUCCUGCUGCUUUUUGACUUGCAUUUUGAGGAAGCUGUUAAUCACUUUCUACAAUCCGAGACAAUGCAACCUUCUGAAGUGUUUCCAUUUAUAAUGCGAGAUCCAAAUCGCUGGUCGCUGCUGAUUCCUAGGAACCGAUAUUGGGGUUUGCACCCCCCCCCUGCUCCUCUUGAAGAUGUUGUUGAUGAUGGGUUGAUGGCUAUCCAAAGAGCUAUUUUCCUUAAAAAAGCAGGUGUGGAUACUACAGUCAAUGAAAAUUUUCUCUUGAAUCCACCAACUAGAGCUGAUUUACUUGAGUUGGCAAUAAAAAAUAUGAGCAGAUAUCUUGAGGUUUCUCGUGAAAAAGAAUUGACUUCUUCAGUAAGAGAGGGAGUUGACACACUUCUAUUGUACCUCUAUAGAGCCCUAAACCGUGUCAAUGAUAUGGAAAAGCUUGCAUCUUCUGGAAACAGCUGUCUUGUGGAGGAGUUAGAAACUCUGUUAGAUGAAUCUGGGCAUUUACGGACGCUCGCCUUCUUAUAUGCAAGUAAAGGGAUGAGCUCAAAGGCUCUUGCCAUAUGGCGUAUUUUGGCAAGAAAUUAUUCUUCUGGUCUAUGGAAAGAUCCUGCUAUGGAGCAUGAAUUACCGGAUGGCAAUACAAAUAUUAUCUCAGGCAGAGAGAUCGCAGCAACUGAGGCAUCGAAAAUUCUUGCGGAGCUGUCUGAUCAGGAUUUGGUUUUGCAACAUCUUGGUUGGAUUGCAGAUGUUAACCCAGUACUCGCAGUUCAAGUUUUGACAUCAGAGAAAAGAGUAAAUCAGCUUUCACCAGAUGAAGUUAUUGCUGCCAUUGAUCCAAAAAAGGUUGAAAUUUUCCAAAGGUAUCUCCAGUGGUUGAUCGAAGAUCAAGACUCCUGUGACGCACAAUUCCACACACUGUAUGCACUCUCACUUGCAAAGUCAACAGUUGAAACCUUUGAGGUGGAAAGUACCUCCCAGGACCCUGAUGAUGGAAGGCUAGAGGAAACAAAAAUUUCUGAUUUUGGAAGAAACUCAAUCUUUCAAAGUCCUGUACGAGAAAGGUUGCAGAUAUUUUUACAGUCAUCAGACUUGUAUGAUCCGGAAGAGGUUCUUGACUUGAUUGAGGAAUCAGAGCUAUGGCUGGAAAAGGCUAUUCUAUACAGAAAAUUAGGGCAAGAGACUUUGGUGCUACAAAUUUUGGCCUUGAAGCUGGAGGAUAGUGAAGCUGCUGAACAAUAUUGUGCAGAGAUUGGCAGACCAGAUGCCUAUAUGCAGUUACUUGAUAUGUAUUUGGAUCCACAAAAUGGUAAAGAGCCCAUGUUUAAUGCUGCUGUUAGACUUCUGCAUAAUCAUGGAGAAUCAUUGGAUCCUUUGCAAGUUCUAGAGACAUUGUCCCCGGACAUGCCCCUCCAACUUGCCUCAGAUACGAUACUAAGAAUGUUGAGGGCUCGACUUCACCAUCAUCGCCAAGGACAAAUUGUGCAUAAUCUGUCCCGUGCUCUAGAUGUUGAUGCAAAACUUGCAAGAUUGGAGGAAAGAUCACGACACGUUCAGAUAAAUGAUGAGAGUGUCUGUGAUUCUUGUCAUGCCCGUCUAGGAACUAAACUGUUUGCAAUGUACCCUGAUGACACUGUUGUCUGUUACAAGUGUUUCCGUCGUCUUGGAGAGUCCACUUCUGUCACAGGUCGUGACUUCAAGCGAGAUCCUUUGUUCAAGCCAGGUUGGCUUGUUAACCGCUGAUCUAGAAAUGGGUUUUGCGUAGUGGAAUAAAAAAUGGUUUUUGAGUACACGAGAGUCAUACUCUAGUGACACUAUGAUGCGAAUGUCAUUGCAGCUCCUCCUUUUCUUCCCCUUUCAUUUUGGGUGGGGGGAGAGGGGAGCUUUCUCGUAUAGGAGGAGGUCAAAUGUGUGUAUGAACUAGAGAUCUAGCUCCUGAAGUAGAUUGUUUUGAAGUCGAGACGCUCCUCCCAUGGUUGCCCUCGGUAUUCAUAUUUCUGGAAGCUGGAGGAGGGUUGACUGUUUCUCUGCCUUGGAAUCGGAAGGCCUUUUGCUGUGACAGAGGGAGAGAGACCAUUAGACCUCGAUGUCUUAAAACAAAUUGAAAGAAAAUUCCUAUAAAUUCGCGAAAUUCGAGAAAUUGAAUCUUGUAACUGUGAUUUCUUUUCAAGUGGAGUAAUGGAUUAUGCUAACCAUUCGUCAA